AGGGGUGUGACUUAGUGGUUGAGUAUUAGCCUAGCAUGCUCAAAGCUCUGGGUUCAAUCCCCAGCACCACAG
rnacentral:tRNA from 1 species